ACAAAGGCACCUGCGCGCAAGGCAAGGUCUCUGGCGGAGGAGGGUCGUGUGAACGCGGGCGGAGCCGCGGGUCGGCCGUGGGGCGCACCUGCGCUCCGCCCGCUGCGCCUCCCCGGAGCCCGGCCGGGCUGCGACUCAGGCGGCGGCGGAGGAGGAGCGAGGUGGGCAGCAGCGGCGGCGGAGCGAGGCGGGCAGCAGCGGCGGCGGCGGCGGCUCCGGAGCGCAGCGCAGCCCAAAACCAGCAGCCGAGGCAUGGCGCAGGCAGGGCGGCCGGCCGCGCAGCCCGGCCGGGGUUAGAAGCGCGCGAUCGCGGCCGAGCCUUGCCGGGAGAGUCCGGCCCGCGAUGGCUUCCAAGGAGCGGCUCUACGAGCUGUGGAUGCUCUACUUCGCCAAGAAAGAUUUGUCCUACCUUCAGCAGUGGUUAGAAGCCUUUGUCGCCAAUUUUGAGAAGAUCAUCGCUGUCCAUUCUCUGGAACCGAGAAGACCCGAAGACUCCGUGUCCGAAAUUCCACUUUUACCUCUGGACGUCUUGCAAGUGUUAACCCAACAAUUUACGUCUUCGGUGUCCCAAAUUUCACGCGAUGAAGUUGCAGAAGCUGGCUUGAAACAAUCUCUCUUGCUGACCAAGUUCUUCAUCAUUAUCUGCAGGAAUCUCGAAAACGUUCAGGAUGACCGUCCACCCCUGUUCGUCCACGAGCUGGUCGUUCUGCUGUCUACCUGUUCGAAAAAGCUCAACAGCUUCCAGGCAGAUCCUUGGCCCCACCAUGGCCCGCUGGAGAGUGUCACACUUUACGGCCUGCACCUUUGCGAAUGUCUCUUCGAUCCCUACCAGACCUGGCGGAGGCAGCUGAGCGGGGAGAUUGUGAGUGCGAAAGAGAAGAACAAAUACAAGUUCACACCAGCUGUGUUGCCUCCGGAGUUCGGUUCCUUUUUUGAAGAAUGCUUUGAAAUGGACCAAGAGCUCCCAGAAUACCUUCAGUUGCGGCUAAUCCACCUUUUGGGGGCUAUUCUCUCUGGAUCCAAGCAAAACGCUCUCCAGAUGAUCACCCCAUCGGCGGUCGAGGUCCUCAUGCUGGUCCUCCGGAGGUGGUGCCUUCCAGCCAGCGGACCCACCAAGGACCCCCAGUUGCUGCAGAUGACCCUCAAGAGCGUGGUGUCCAUGGUUCACGUCCUCCACAGCAGCAGCCCAAACCAGCGGGCCGUGGAGAUCCGAGCCAUCUUGGACAGCUUCUUCAAAGUCCUUAACGCCGACCAACCCUUGGCCUCGCUGGAAGGGUCACCAGGCCCUCACUGGGAGGAGAAGCUGAUCACGCUGCGGGUGAACAUGUUGGACGCCAUUCCAGAAAUGUUGAAUUCUGACGACCGGCCGGUCUUGCAAGCCAUGUUCCUGAGCAACAAUUGUUUUGAACACAUCAUACGAUUGAUCCAAAACAGCAAGCUCUACCUGAGCAGGGAGUGCAAAGCAGCUGCAAGGGAUCUGGCCACACGGCUGCUGACUGAGAUGGAGAUCCGUCAGGUUUUUGACAGCAGCUCUGAUGCCAUCCCGAUUCACGCCAUUGGGGUCCUCACUUCCAUCAUGGCCACCUCCCCCACGGCUAAGGAGGUCUUCAAAGAAAGGAUCGGCUACUCCCACCUCUACGAGGUCCUGAAGAGUCAGAGUCAGCCCACCAAGAAGCUGCUGCAGGAGCUGCUCAACAUGGCCGUCGAAGGGGAUCACACCGCCUCCCCUGCGCGCCUCAUCCACAAUGAGCAGCCGCUCUUGAUCCUGAUCCAGUGGAUUCCCGAGCUCACCUCUCAAGACCUCCAGAUCUUCCUUUCGGAGUGGCUGAAGAAAAUCUGCAGUGCUUCUCUCCAGAGCCGCACAACCUGUGUCCGGGCGGGCAUGGUGGGCUACUUGCUGGACGCCCUGAGCGCCACGCAGCAGAACCUCAACCGCAAGUGCACGGAGAACCUUGUCGACUUGCUGCAAGUGCUCGGCGGUCUCUCGAUCCGUCCGGGCGAGUUACGGCAGUUGCUGAGACUCCUCCGGACUGAGCAUGGCACGGGUUGCCACGCGUACACGGUGCAAGUCGUGCGAGCUCUUUCGGGCAUGGCGCGUAAGGAAGGACCCGAGCGGGCGCUGCAGUACUUCGACCUGAUGCCGAGCAUGACGGGGAUCAUGGUGCCCACCAUCCAGAAGUGGCCUGGGGGUGGCUUCGCCUUCCACGCCUGGCUGUGUCUCCUGGCCGAAGAAGCCAAAGACGCUCCGGAGGAGACUGGCCGAUUGAAGCGGAAGCAGCUGUACAGCUUCUUCACCGCCAGCGGCACCGGCUUCGAAGCCUUCUUCACCACGGAGGGGAUGCUGGUGGUGGCAGUCUGCACCAAGAAGGAGUACAUGACGGUAGCCCUGCCAGAGAUCCCCUUCAAUGACGCAGCCUGGCAUUGCGUUGACGUUGUCCACAUCGUGGGCCGACGGCUCUUCAGCCAGAACCUGGUGAACAUUUUUGUAGACGGUCAGCUCUACAAAGUCGCUCAGCUGCGUUUCCCAUCCGUCAGCGAGGCCUUCACAUCUUGCUUCAUUGGUUCUGCUGGCCACCGGACCACCACCACAUCCACAGUCUACUCACCCCCGUCUCACUCGCCAGAUCUGGAGUUCCCAACGCAUCCUUUUCUGAACCGCUCACAGUCCUUCCCAGCAUCUUUGGCUUCUCACACCUGGACCCCCAUCCCGCCCCGGGAAAGCAUGGUUUCUACCAUGAUUGCGGGGACCCAGGACACCGAGUGGGGAAUGCCCACCUCUUUGGAAGGCCAUUUGGGGUCAGUCGCCAUCUUCUACGAGGCACUCCAGCCUGCUCAGGUGAAGGCCCUCUUCUUGGCAGGACCAAAUAUUGCAUCACCAUUUAAGCCGGAGGGAGAUUUUGGGGAACUGAGUAGCAAACUACUUUUGUACUACACACCUCAGGCCUGUAAAAGCAACAUCUGUCUGAACCUUUCUCCAAACCAUAACCUGGAAGGGAGGCUGACAGGGCAUCAAGUGGUGAACUGGGAUGUUAAGGAUGUCAUCAACUGUGUUGGUGGGAUGGGGGUGCUCCUCCCUCUGCUGGAUCAGGUGGCAUCUCAGAAGGAAGAAAGCAAAGAUAUCCAGGAGAUUCAUGACUUGGUGGGCCCAGAGUUGACCUCGUCACGGAGUGCUCAAGGCUUACACAUUCCGCUGGGGAAAUCUUCAGAGGGCAGGCUGGAGAAGAAUGGAGUGGCUGCAUUUUUACUACUGGUGAAGAACUUCCUGUGUGGUCAUCAAGUCAAUCAAGAGAGUUUGGUCCAGUGUCAUGGUCCAGCCAUCAUUGGAGCCUUGCUCCAGAAGGUCUCCAGCCAGGCGAUGGACAUGAAUGUCCUCAUGGCCUCCCAGAUUCUGAUGGAACAGGUGGCCUCAGAAGGACACAACCUCUUGCUUCAUCUCCUCUACCAAGCCCUCCUCUUUGACUUCCGCAUCUGGACCAACAGUGACUUCGCCGUCCGGCUGGGUCACAUCCAGUACCUAUCCAAUAUAAUUAAGGACCACAAACAAAGGAUAAGGAAGAAAUAUGGGGUGCAAUAUAUCCUAGAUUCCAUCCGGACCUAUUACGGAACCUACAAGGAGAAGCCCAUUGCCACCGAUGACCUCCGGACAGUGCAAACGUCCCUCUUCAGCCUGAUCAAAGACUUCUUCUGCAGGAACAUCUCCAGCGAUGAGAUGCAAAGCACCAUGAACUAUCUGGCAGCCGUAAAUGAUGAGCACCAGGUAUGUGGGAUCCUGGAAGUGAUCCAAAGUCUGCAGAAGAAUUCCUUAUGCCAGGACCAACUCUUUGCUUUCCUGUUUGAGCCGGGCAACGUGGAGGUCUUUUUCUCGCUACUCAUUCAACGGAAGUUCUCGGAUGAAGUCCGGGAGAGAAUCUUCAAGAUUUUGUACAAGUUGUUGAAGUACGAGAAGGUCCAUGAACGGUAUAAGCAUCGCUUGAAGCUGAAGGACAUUGGCUAUCAUGGCUUCAUCUCCUACCUGAACGACAUCCCGGUUUCCAUACUGUUUUUCCGGUGCCUUCUAGAACAAGUCCUUGGAGCAGAUUCCCCGAACUACAAGGAUUUGAUGGCUGUUGUUUACCUCUCUCACCGGGCAGAUCUGACGGUCAGACUGGACAUCUGCAGGAAGCUCUUCCACCUAAUUUACUCACAGCUUGACAUGGUGAAGCAACUGGCCAAGCUGGCAGGCUGGCAGGACACCCUCACCAAGCUCUACGUCAAGGAGUCCUACGAGUCUCGCCAACACAGCCUGUCGAACUCGGCCAACUCAGAGCAGUCCAGCAUGGAGAAAGGGAAGGAGCUGGUGGGCUCCACUAGUCCUUUGACCUCUGAGCUGCCAGAUUUGGAUGUGUUCCUCCCCCUGGGCUACGAAGCGUCUGACCACGAGCUGUCAGAAGGCUUCUUGGACUUGUCCAUGUCUCCCACCAACCAGAAGAACAAAGUCUUCCAGUCUUACGCCUUCAAAUCCUUCGACUCCUUAGAGCUCGCCAGCCAUUCCUCCUCCUCCAACAUCAUGGACCUCUCUGGGCAGGGAGAGGUCCACCCAGGAGGCCCAGCUGACCGGGUCUACCACCCGCUCUCGCCUUUCUCCAAUUCCCCGUAUGACCUCGGCUUGGAUUUCGGCAGCAGCAGCUCAGCGGCCACCAUGGAGAGUGGAAACCAGACCCCGCUCAGCCUUCCCGGGACGCCGUCCCCUCUGGAGAACUUCAAGCCUUUCCCGGGGUCCAGAGCUCGAAAAAGCUCCAGCUUGUCCAACGUGCUGGACGAGACGAGCUACCAGGAGACCCUGCCGAGCGACAGCAUCUCCAACACCAGCAACCCUCAGCAAACUCCGGAGGAAGAACUCUGCAACUUGUUGACCAACAUCAUCUUCUCAGUCACCUGGCGGGGCGUGGAGGGCUGGGACGACGUGGCCUGGAAAGAGCGUGGACAGGUCUUCUCAGUCCUCACCAAACUGGGCUCAGCCUGUGAGCUGGUCCGCCCUCCGGAUGAGAUCAAGCGCAGCCUCCUGGAGAUGAUGAUGGAAUCGGCCUUGACGGACCUGAAGCAGACGACCCCAGUCCUGCUGCCGAGCCUCACCCAGAACGCCUUGAAGCUGCUCCAUCUCCUCCAGGAUUUCCUGUUCUCAGAAGGUCACAACAACCAGGUCCUGUGGAGCGAGAAGAUUUAUGAGGGUGCCAACAGCCUGCUAGACAAGUUGGGGGUCUGGUACCACUUGGCAAACGGCACUUCGGACUUGAAGGAGAUGGCCCAAAUCGGCCUGCGGGUGCUGAUUGGAUACAUCAUGCUGGAAGACAUACAGCUGCAGUCCUUGGCCUACGUCAAGCUCCAUGGUCUUCUCCAGACAGCUUCGGCCCCCAGCAAAGAGCAAGCCUGUUAUCUCCUGGGCAAACUGGAGACCCCACUCCGGGCUUCUCUGCACACCAAGUCGGAGACUUUCUCCUGGCUGGUGCCCAUCAUCCGGACUCUGAUGGACCAGUGCUACGACACUUUGCAGCUCCAGCACUUCUUGCCGUCUCUGCCGCCUACCAACGGCAGCCCCACGUUUUAUGAAGACUUCCAGGUCUUCUGCACCCACCCAGAGUGGCUGAGCUUCAUCGAGAAGCACGUACAGCCCACCAUGGCCCAGUUUGAAAUGGACACGUUUGCCAAGAGCCAUGACCACAUGUCGAAUUUCUGGAACUCCUGCUACGACGCCUUGAUGAGCAGCAAUCAGCGGAGGGAGAAGGAGAAAGCCGAGAGCCGGAGGAAGUUCCAGGACCUCAUUCUGGAGCCUGUAAUGAAACGGGCCAAGUACGAAAACAUCCGACACACAAAUAUGCUGAAGCAGAUCAACCAUCACCACAACACAGUCUUGAAGCAAUGGCGGGCUUUGCAACGGCUGCUGACUUCACAGCGCUCGGCCUGGGCUGAUCGGAAUCCACCUGAGAUCCGCUGGAAGCUGUCCAACGUGGAGACCUACUCCCGAAUGAGACUCAAGUUGGUGCCCAAUCACCAUUUUGACCUCCACACAGAAGCCAGCGCCUUGCGAGACAAUCUUGGUGCGGAUGGCUUGCACAACCCGGCAGAAUCCCUACCUUUAGCGGUGGCCAAAGAAGCCAAAGUCAGUGAGAUGCAGGACGAUCAACUGGCAGAAGAAGACUUCUCAUUCUUGGACAAUCAGCUAGAAGCCAAAGAGCAAAACCAGCGAGAGAAACUGCUCAUCUCGGAGGAUUGCGAACUCAUCACUGUUGUGGCUGUGAUCCCGGGGCGCCUGGAGGUCACCACACAACAGAUCUAUUUUUAUGACAGCAGCAGUGAGAAAGAGGAGACCGAGGACGGUAUUGGACACGACUUCAAGCGUCCACUCUCUCAGCUCCGGGAGCUGCACCUGCGCCGUUACAACCUGCGCCGUUCGGCCUUGGAGUUCUUUUUCAUCGACCAGGCAAACUAUUUCCUCAACUUCAAGAAAAUGGUGAGGAACAAGGUCUACUCCACCAUCCUCAGCUUGCAGCUUCCCAGCCAGAUCUACCAAGGCAGCCGCUCCCCGCAGGACCUGCUCAAGGCCUCCGGACUGACUCAGAAAUGGGUCUACAGGGAGAUCUCCAACUUUGAAUACCUCAUACAGCUGAACACGAUUGCGGGACGCACCUACAACGAUCUUUCUCAAUAUCCCGUGUUCCCCUGGAUCCUGCAAGAUUACCUCUCGGAGACGCUGGAUCUGAACAACCCGGCCGUUUUCCGGGAUCUGUCCAAGCCCAUCGGAGUGGCCAAUGAGAAACACGCCAAGGCUGUCAAGGAGAAAUACGAGAGCUUUGAGGACCCGACAGGGAUGAUUGACAAAUUCCACUACGGCACCCACUACUCCAACGCAGCGGGCGUCAUGCACUACCUGAUUCGCACAGAGCCGUUCACAACCUUGCAUAUCCAGCUGCAGAGCGGGAGGUUUGAUUGCUCCGAUCGUCAGUUCCACUCGGUUCCCGCCGCUUGGCAGGCUCGUUUGGAGAACCCAGUGGACGUGAAGGAAUUGAUCCCGGAGUUCUUCUACUUUACCGAUUUUCUGGAGAACCAGAACGGUUUCGAUCUCGGCUCUCUUCAGAUAUCGAACGAGAAAGUCACGGACGUGGUCCUUCCCAAGUGGGCCAAAUCCCCAGAAGAUUUUAUCCACAAACAUCGGCAAGCACUUGAAUCGGAGUAUGUCUCAGCCCAUUUGCAUGAAUGGAUCGACUUGAUCUUUGGCUAUAAGCAGAGGGGGCCAGCAGCUGUGGAGGCCCUAAAUGUGUUCUAUUAUUGCACUUAUGAAGGGGCAGUUGACUUGGACGCGAUUGCAGAUGAAACGCAACGCAAGGCUUUGGAAGGCAUCAUCAGUAACUUUGGGCAGACCCCCUGCCAGCUGUUGAAGGAGCCUCACCCGGCCCGUUUCUCAGCUGAAAAUGCAGCCAGGAGACUUUCUCGGCUGGACACUUAUUCACCGAAUAUUUUUGAGAAUCUGGAUCAGCUCAAAUCGUUCUUCGCUGAAAGCAUCAGCGAACGGAUCUCGCUUGUCCAGGUGGUCGUGCCCAAGAAUCAGUCUCAUUCUUUCAUCACUCAGGGAUCUCCUGACAUGAUGAUCACAGUCAGUGCCAACGGGCUGCUGGGAACUCACAGCUGGUUGCCGUACGAUAAAAACAUCUCCAAUUACUUCAGCUUCACCAAAGACUCCACUGUCUCCAAUCCAAAGACGCAACGCUACCUUUACGGCCCUUUUGCUCCGGGGGCAGAGUUGUCCUCCAAGACAUUGGUGGUCUCUCACGACGGCAAGCUCCUCUUCAGUGGUGGCCACUGGGACAACAGCUUGCGGGUCACCUCGUUGAGUAAAGGAAAGGUGAUUGGACACAUCAAUCGUCACAUAGAUGUGGUCACCUGCUUGGCCUUAGAUCUGUGUGGAAUCUACCUCAUUUCUGGAUCGCGGGACACCACCUGCCUCGUGUGGCAAGUUCUCCAACAGGGUGGACUGUCUUGUGGCUUAGCCUCCAAGCCAGUUCAGGUCCUCUACGGACAUGAAGAUGAAGUCACGUGUGUUGGCAUCAGCACUGAGUUGGACAUGGCGGUGUCGGGGUCCAAGGAUGGCACCAUCCUUGUGCACACCAUCCGCCGAGGGCAGUUCAUGAUGUCGCUGAAGCCCCCCUGUGAGUGUUCUCUGCCGGUCACCAUCUCCAACCUGGUUGUGGGUCACCAGGGGCAGAUCGUGGUCCAGACAGUUGUGGGGGGAAGAACCUCUCUCAAGGACAAGUUUGCCCUCCACCUGUACUCCGUCAAUGGCAAGCAUCUGUCUUCUGUCCCUCUGGAUGAGCAAGUUACCUCGAUGUGUGUCACGGAGGACUUUGUCGUGCUGGGCACCCUUCAGUGUUCAUUGCAGAUCAAGGACCUUCAGAGGUUGCAGCCGGCAGUUCCUUCUCUGAUCAUGAAGGUCCCCAUCCACAGCGUCUCCGUGACGAAAGAGAAGAGCCAUAUCUUGGUGGGUCUGGAAGACGGGAAGCUGAUAGUGGUGGGUGCAGGACAACCUUCGGAGGUGCGGACGGGCCAGUUCCACCGCCGGCUCUGGCGCUCAACGCGGCGUAUCUCCCAGGUGUCUUCGGGCGAGACAGAAUACCAUCCGACGGAGUCCAAAUAGAGGCCUCGUUUUUAAUUUCCUGUUGCCUUGUAAUCACCCCUCUGCCAGUGGACCCCAGGUUCUCCCAGGAGAAGGUCCACCACGGCUGCUGCCUCUCGUGUCGCGUGGCUGCGGGAUCCUUGCGGCUGUAGGGAUACCCUACGGCAACUCCCCAGGAGCGUGAACCUGCACACAUCUGGAGCAGGCUCCUGAAUGCAGUGCAUGCAGCAGAACAAUCUAGGUUUUGUGUGUGUGUGUGUGUAUGCGUGUGUGCGUGUGUGUGUGUGGUUUCCCUGAGUCCAUUCAGCUGUUGCCCACCGAUUGAUGCUAUAUUACUGUUGAUUCCUGUAGAGCUUGAAACGUCAAAUGUUUGUAUUGUCUUACACUGGAGAGCGUGAGCGAAGGAAGAAUGGGGGGGAGGGCUGCCAGAUUGUCUUUGCCCCUUCCCACUGUGUGUUAGAAUCGGGUGGGAGGGUCACAAGUGAAGCAAUAGACAUCCCAACCUUUAAAAUGCGGGUGGUCUCUUGGUGGUGGCCUUAAGGAGACGUUAGUUGCACUACACGGAACACCUGCAACCGAAGUGGACCCCCGUUGCUUUCCGUGUCCUGGUGGGUGAGAAGUUCUCUUGAACUCUGAAUAAAGCUUUAAAGGGAGGCCAGCUCUUGGUCCUCAAGUUGUAAUCAAGAAAGGUGGACAGGGCAGGGCAACCCAUAAGUGUUAUGCCAGAGAUGGGGCAGGAGGUGAAUUCUAAUCUCAUACGGUAUGAAAAAAGUGAGCUUUCCCCAUAGGUGUGGUGCCCUCUGGUGGCCUGGUGUUGGAAACCUUCCUUGGACAGUUGACCACUGGGGAUAUGGGAGGCCCAGACAUUCAUUCGUUGGGGGCCAACUGUUUCCAACACAUGCCCCACAUACCUUCACUAGCAAUAAAAGACAACCUUGGUGCCCGUGGGUUAUACCCAAUCCUGCCUCAAGGCCUUAUGAUUCUGCGUGUUCGAGCAAGGAGCCUUGGGAGUGGAGGAUGGUACCCCCAGUCAGUUCUCCUCUUCACUCCUCACUUUCAGAAAAUCCACUCAAUAGACACUCCCUAUAAGUCUUGGCCAAGGUCUUCCUGGUGGAAACAGUGACUCUCUCCUCCAUCCUUUACAUGUUUUAUGGAUAUGGGCACCAUCUUCCUCUUAAGCACCUGUUGAUAUCUGCACUUUUAAACUUCUGCACGGAGAUGAGGGAGCAAGAAGGUUCUGAGAUACCAGAAACCGCACAAGUUUCAGCACGAAGACAAAUUGGAGCAGAUUCCACAUUGGAAGGAGAAUAUCAGCUCUGUCUGACCUUCCUGUCUCUUGCGGUGGUCCUGAAGAUCUCUCCAAACCAAGACAAGGUCCUCCAUUGCUCCACAGCUGUUCCAACUACCAGCCUUCUUGGGAAGGUCAUUCCAUCUCUUCGCCUACGUGGUUGAAGGAAGCUGCGCCCCUGAAGGAGAGCACUUCUGGUUUCACACGUUCAACCUGUUGGCCUGGAACAAGGUAAGCAUUCUCUAGGAGACUACAAAUCCAACCAUCCCCAGCCAGAAUGUGUGUCCAACACUAUGGAUCUCCCAAAACCAAGACAAGAUCUUCAAUUGCUCCACAAUUGUCUGCAAGGUUGAAAUCGUUCUUAAAAUCUGUUUUCUAAUAUCCUACCCACUCCAGGUCUUCUUUCUCUCUCAAAAAAAGAAAAUUUUGAAAUAGAGACCAAUUUCCACGAAGUGCAAUAUUUUCACUUUGGAGAAAAUUAAGUGUCUUUGGGUUUGUUUUCUCCCCCAAAUCUCCUGCAGCGUCAACUCCGGGUGACUUUUCAAUGUACAAAAACCUCUUUUGUAACUUUUACGAAUAUCAGCGUUCCAAAUUUUUUCUACCGGUUUUAAUUAUUAUUAUUAUUAUUUGUAUUUAAAAGGGGCAGAGGUGUUAACUUUUCAGAGUUUUCCCGACUCCACGAAAAAAGCACCAGGGUGGAUAUGUCCUUUAACCCGCGUGAAAUUUAACACUGGUGUUUUGUCACUGUUGGUUGAUUCACAACGACUGCGGUUCUGAAAUUUCUAAGAUUGUUGGGCUGGUUUGUUCGAGAGAAUCUGAGCGGGGUGGGUUUAUUUAGUGCAAAUUUAAGGCUGGCAAAACAGGGUCCUCGUGUCUGUUGGCACAGGGCAAUGCACUGAGGUGUCCUUUCCACGUGUGCGUUGUGCACAAUCUAUACUGUGGUGGGUAGUAGUAGUACACAAUCAUUUUUGGCACAGUGGAAGUGGAGAAAGAGAAGAGAGAGAAACCGAAUUCUCUCUAGACCCACAAAUUUCUCUCUGUUGCAAAGCUUUUUAAAAAAAAAUAUGAAUAUUUUUAAAGAAAGAGAAGCAUUCUCUGGAAUUAAACAUAUUUCGGAUUUGCACGCAAGCAAAACUCGGUUGCAAAAAAUGCUUCCAGACAACUUUUCAGCUUGAAGACGGGCAGAUGUCAACUCCCAGAAUUCCUCAGCCAGCAGGCUGGCUGGGGAAUUCUGGGAGUUGAAGUCCACUCAUUUUCAAGCGUCCAAGUUUGUUUUAAGGAUUGGAAUUACAGGAACAGGGGUUGCCUUUAUGUCACCCCACCCCCACCCCAGAAACCUCUAUUUUGCCCUGAUCCAGGACCGAGGACCGUCAAAGAUCCAUGCUCCACUUCGAGCUGAGCCAUUGUUCCAGCCCAGCCUUCUCGGUUUAAGUAUGGCCGUUGGUUGCUCAAUUUCUCUUGCCUGUUUUUAAAGAGAAAGGGGAAAUCUGUAUUUUGCAAUAAAUAAAUUAUAAAGGAGGCACACAUCUGCAGCAACCACGGUGUUUAAAAACGCCCCUUGCAGAUUGAGCUACCUGUGAGUAAGGAAGGAAUUGCAAGCUUUCUGGAUGUUGCUGGAUGUUGCUGGUAGUCUCCCAAGAGGGUGUUUUAAAAGGGGGGUUUGGUUUUAAAAGGCCUGUGGGGCAGGAUAAAUCCCCCUUAGCCUGCACUGCCUUGCGUCUUUUUUUUCUUCCAGAGAAAUGAAAAGCACAAUCUGAAUUUUUUAAAAUUUAGAAAAAUAAAAAAUAUGCCUUAAACUUGAAUGGGACUGCUUGCCUUGAAUUUUACUGGUUUUGCCUCACAAUGGAGGAUAUUUCUGUUCACCUGACUUUAAAUAAACGGCUAAAAAAAA